rnacentral:piRNA from 1 species
AAACAUUGAGGAUGUCUACGGCAACAC